UUGAGUUUUGCAAAUCUUUUGUUCAAGAUUGUUUGUGUUCUUCUGCUGGGUUUUCUCUUUAGAUUAGGGCUUUUCAUGACAAUCUGAACCCUAAGAUCUUGUUAUCUUUCUCAUGGUGUUGGUUUGAGGUUCUUGAAUAAAUUAGAACUUAGUGAAGAUACAACAGGAUGUCUUUGUGAAUAAAGACAUACAGCAGUGCUUGCAUUUGUUCCGAAGGAUACGGUAUCUGCAUUUGCUUGAUCUGUUCAUAGUCUGUAUUCCACGAUUGCACUUUAUUUGAUCAUCGAAGGCAAAAACUGGACGUGCAAGAUCUGUUUAUUCAACUUUUGUGGGAUAUGGCCAGUUCAGUCUAUCUGGUGAAUACAGAAAAUCAAAAGUUUUAUCCCUAAAAUCUUGGGUUUCUUUUGGCUGCGGAAAAUAUUUCUUGUGUUCUUCACUUUGAACUCAUAACCCUAAGUGAAGGUUACGGUUCUUGGUGCGUGAAUAUGAUUACCCUAAUAUAGGGCGCUCCCGAGUCUCUAUCUAAAUGUUUGGACACGGCCCGACGCAUCUAUCAAGUGGACAUGGUUCAAGUUUGUUUAUAGGGUUUCUAUCUGGAUUUAUAUAA
rnacentral:lncRNA from 1 species